UUCUGAUCUCUACACCAGGGUGCAGGCCUAGUCCUUUGGCUUGGGUAUAUAAUUGGAAUGUGAAACUGAAAUGAAUAAAAAUAAAUGAAUUAUCUUUUAAGAGUAAAAUAACCUGUUCUUAAAAUAAUCUUUUUCCUCCCUCCACUUCUCUUUCAUUACUGAAAAAGAAAAAAAAAUAAAAUAAAAGGAGAGGAGAGGAGAGGAGAGGAGAGGAGAGGAGAGGAGAGGAGAGGAGAGAAGAAUAGUUUUUUGAUAGUUGUUCUCACCUAAGCUCAUCAUCCUGUCUUUUUUUAAUCAGCUCAUGCAGUAUGCUGAAAGGAUGGCGCUGAUCAGGCAGUAUUGUGACUUCAGAUUGCAGUUCACUCUGGGCAGAUCUCUGAGAAAAGAGGCAUUUCUGGAAAUGGGAAUCUUUACAGCAAGCAGAGACAGGGCAGGGGCACAGAGUUCAGAUCCAGACGUGCAUCACAAUAUUUUGGCUUUGUCCUUCCUUAUAUAUACUACAUUUUCUGAGAUGAAAGAAGUGAAGAAGAACAAAUCUUUAAGGUAUAUUUGGACUUGCGACUGUUUGGGAAACUUCAGAGUAUCAAGGAUUAAGGAAGAAACCUGAAAAUUUUGGAUAAAUCUGUUUCCUUUAUUACACAGUGAGAAAUUAGAUCCCAUCAACUUGGGUGAAGUUAUUGUCUGAAACAUAAGGAGCAGCAUAUGACCCUAUGAAGAGUCCAACUCUGAGACAACAAACUUAGUUAUUUUGAAAAGGAAGCCAAUGUUUUUGCAUAAAAUUCUGUCUGGAGCAAUAUCCCUCCAUAGCAAGUUCAUUUACAAGCACUUACUGCAUGGCAUGACCUGCUCUACAAACUAUGACAGUAUCAAGGCCUCUCCACUAAUCUGAUUAUUUUUGAUAAUGGAAAACAAUCUUGACCUCAGCUAUGAAAAAUAUGAUUCUGUUUGCAAAUCUUAUUUUGUAAGACUGCCUUUCAUUGCUGAAGUGUGUCAACUACAGUAGCCAUGAAGUUUUGCGUUUAAAUGAAAAUGAAUAGUAUGGCAGAAUAUUUAAAAUAUCUAAAUGUUAAAGUAACCGGAUGAUUCAUAAUUAUCAGCUUCAUCUGCAAUUUUUUUUUUCUUUUACUUUUGCCUUCAGUGAGUCAUGAGUAUGUCUGGAUUGCUCUUCAACCCUGAAGGAGUGAAAUGUACUCCUAAUGGACAACACAAGGGUCACACAUACCACGUACAUCCCCAAAAAUAGAGCUCUCAGUCCUGUUGCUAUGAAAUUUCAGUCCUUCCAACAGCUUGCUUGUGCCAAUUAGCUUUUUGCUCACUGAAUAGUUCCAUUCACCUCAUCAGGGAGGUACGAGUGGCACAGGGAGCCGCUCGUCAUGACGGCUCCAGGAUGUGGUCCUCUCACAGGGACGGCGCCGUGCUCACAGGGUGCUCUGUAGCCUCCUUAAGCUGAUUUCCCUCACAGCUUCUUCUGGAUCCUUGCAAAGGCUCCCUUGUAUAUUUAUGGUUAAAUGUGUCUUCAUUCAUUACUGCGAGGUCUUUCCUUCCAAAGGAAGAUUUUGAACUGGAAAUUAUAAGGUUCUCAAAUUCCACAGCCAUGGCAUCAUUCUGAGCUUUAACUGUGGCUUGCGUAACUUCUCAUAUUUGUUCUUUGCCAGCCUCAAGAGUAGGGAGUUCAACAAGAUUCCUUCUCUGAGCUGUAUUACACUGUUUCCAUUAAGAAAAACAAAUUUCAGGGCCGCAGAGCUAUUAUGACUCAGUUCAUAUCCUUAGGAUCUUUAUUUCACAUAGCAAGCACUUCCCAGUCUGAUGUCUGAAAAUCCUCUCUAAUUAGUGCUCCUUCACAAACUAAAACUAUUGUUAUGGUGUUGUCUCAUUUCAUACACUUUUAUUGAUGCUACGUGGAUGAUCUGUAACCUUGUGUGCUUUUAAAAAGCAAUAAAUAUUCCUUUGUUACGACUCA
ensembl:lncRNA